GACGAACGCUGGCGGCGUGCUUAACACAUGCAAGUCGAACGAAAAGAGGGAAAGAGCUUGCUCUUUCCGGAAUUGAGUGGCAAACGGGUGAGUAACACGUAAACAACCUGCCUUCAGGAUGGGGACAACAGACGGAAACGACUGCUAAUACCGAAUAAGUUCCAAGGGCCGCAUGGCCCAUGGAAGAAAAGGUGGCCUCUACCUGUAAGCUAUCGCCUGAAGAGGGGUUUGCGUCUGAUUAGCUGGUUGGAGGGGUAACGGCCCACCAAGGCGACGAUCAGUAGACGGUCUGAGAGGAUGAACGGCCACACUGGAAUUGAGACACGGUCCAGACUCCUACGGGAGGCAGCAGUGGGGAAUCUUCCGCAAUGGGCGAAAGCCUGACGGAGCAACGCCGCGUGAGUGAUGACGGCCUUCGGGUUGUAAAACUCUGUGAUCCGGGACGAAAAGGCAGAGUGCGAAGAACAAACUGAAUUGACGGUACCGGAAAAGCAAGCCACGGCUAACUACGUG
rnacentral:rRNA from 1 species